rnacentral:rRNA from 1 species
UACAGAGGUCCCGAGCGUUGUUCGGAUUCACUGGGCGUAAAGGGUGCGCAGGUGAGUUUGCAAGUUCGAUGUGAAAGCCCCGGGCUUAACCCGGGAAUGGCAUUGGAUACUGCAGAUCUGGAGGAUCGGAGGGGGGACUGGAAUUCUUGGUGUAGCAGUGAAAUGCGUAGAUAUCGAGAGGAACACCUGCGGCGAAGGCGGGUUGCUGGGCUGACACUGACGCUGAUGCGCGAAAGCUAGGGGAGCGAACGGG